rnacentral:rRNA from 1 species
UAGGGAAUCUUCGGCAAUGGACGAAAGUCUGACCGAGCAACGCCGCGUGAGUGAAGAAGGUAUUCGGAUCGUAAAACUCUGUUGUUAGAGAAGAACAAGGACGUUAGUAACUGAACGUCCCCUGACGGUAUCUAACCAGAAAGCCACGGCUAACUACGUGCCAGCAGCCGCGGUAAUACGUAGGUGGCAAGCGUUGUCCGGAUUUAUUGGGCGUAAAGCGAGCGCAGGCGGUUUCUUAAGUCUGAUGUGAAAGCCCCCGGCUCAACCGGGGAGGGUCAUUGGAAACUGGGAGACUUGAGUGCAGAAGAGGAGAGUGGAAUUCCAUGUGUAGCGGUGAAAUGCGUAGAUAUAUGGAGGAACACCAGUGGCGAAGGCGGCUCUCUGGUCUGUAACUGACGCUGAGGCUCGAAAGCGUGGGGAGCAAACAGG